GACGAACGCUGGCGGCGUGCUUAACACAUGCAAGUCGAACGGAAAGGCCCUGCUUUUGUGGGGUGCUCGAGUGGCGAACGGGUGAGUAACACGUGAGUAACCUGCCCUUGACUUUGGGAUAACUUCAGGAAACUGGGGCUAAUACCGGAUAGGAGCUCCUGCUGCAUGGUGGGGGUUGGAAAGUUUCGGCGGUUGGGGAUGGACUCGCGGCUUAUCAGCUUGUUGGUGGGGUAGUGGCUUACCAAGGCUUUGACGGGUAGUCGGCCUGAGAGGGUGACCGGCCACAUUGGGACUGAGAUACGGCCCAGACUCCUACGGGAGGCAGCAGUGGGGAAUAUUGCACAAUGGGCGGAGGCCUGAUGCAGCAACGCCGCGUGCGGGAUGACGGCCUUCGGGUUGUAAACCGCUUUCGCCUGUGACGAAGCGUGAGUGACGGUAAUGGGUAAAGAAGCACCGGCUAACUACGUG
rnacentral:rRNA from 1 species